UUCACUUAUUCACUUUAAAAUUAUUUCUAUUUGGCGCGGAACAGUGAUAGUAUCGGUAUCCAUUUGGUGGGAUAUUUGCUCUCAUUUUUCCUCUCUUCGUCGAGGGAUUUUUCAUCCCAGCAAUGUCCCUACAUUCCAUACUCACGUACGUCCUAUGUUGCCGGCAACAUUCCGCAUACCCUGGGGGAAAUGCAUAUUAUAGAAUUGAGGAAAUGUUUGUCAUCUGUCUCCAAUAAAUGAAGAAACUAGUCAGUCUCUGUUUAAAGCUAUCACAACGAAAUUUUGCAGUUUAUUGUUUGUUUACAGAGACCAAGAAUCGGUAUCGGGGUAUACAAAUGGCCAUACUCCGGUCGACAAGCAACAAGUCUUCAAACGCCAGCAACAUGUAAGAAA